CCGGCGUCAAACAUAAACACCGGGCGUUUUCUGGCUUCUGUGCCGCUUCAGGAUGUAAUAAAAUUUGAUAAAAAGAAGAAUUUUAGGUGCAACAUGUAAGUUUUUUGGUUUAUUAUUGUAGAAAUUACAUGUCAAUAUAUUCAGCAAUUCAAAAUGUCGGCUUCCUUAAUUACAGACAAGGAGAUAGAGAAUUUUACGCUUACUGUCAUCCAAUCAGAAC
rnacentral:lncRNA from 1 species